GGAUUCUUGUGUGUGUUUUUUUUUAAGUGUCGCUUCUGAGAGAAUCUUUGGCCACAAUCUGAACAGGCAAAAGGUUUCUGACCAGUGUGCAUUCUUCCGUGCUUUUUUAAGUUUCCCUUAACAGAGAAUCUUUGGCCACAAACUAAGCAGGCAAAAGGUUUCUCACCAGUGUGCAUUCUUCCGUGCUUUUUUAAGGUUCCCUUACAAGAGAAUCUUUGGCCACAAACUAAGCAGGCAAAAGGUUUCUCACCAGUGUGGGUUCUUUUGUGAUCACGUAAAUUUUGUUUAUGAGAGAAUCUUUGG